AGGUGGGAGUGCUCGAAAGAGAACCGGCGCACAGGUGCUGCAUGGCUGUCGUCAGCUCGUGUCGUGAGAUGUUGGGUUAAGUCCCGCAACGAGCGCAACCCUUGUCCUUAGUUGCUACGCAAGAGCACUCUAAGGAGACUGCCGGUGACAAACCGGAGGAAGGUGGGGAUGACGUCAAGUCCUCAUGGCCCUUAUGGGUAGGGCUUCACACGUCAUACAAUGGUCGGAACAGAGGGUUGCCAACCCGCGAGGGGGAGCUAAUCCCAGAAAACCGAUCGUAGUCCGGAUUGCACUCUGCAACUCGAGUGCAUGAAGCUGGAAUCGCUAGUAAUCGCGGAUCAGCAUGCCGCGGUGAAUACGUUCC
rnacentral:rRNA from 3 species